rnacentral:rRNA from 1 species
UACGUAGGGGGCAAGCGUUGUCCGGAAUCAUUGGGCGUAAAGCGCGCGUAGGCGGCCCUGUAAGUCCGCUGUAAAAGUCAAAGGCUCAACCUUUGAAAGCCGGUGGAUACUGCAGGGCUAGAGUCCGGAAGAGGCGAGUGGAAUUCCUGGUGUAGCGGUGGAAUGCGCAGAUAUCAGGAGGAACACCAAUAGCGAAGGCAGCUCGCUGGGACGGUACUGACGCUGAGACGCGAAAGCGUGGGGAGCGAACAGG